rnacentral:rRNA from 1 species
UAGUCUACACCGUAAACGAUGGGCACUAGGUGGUGGAAACGCCGAUAGUUUUCUCGGCCGAAGCUAAAGUGUUAAGUUGACCGCCUGGGGAGUACGGUCGCAAGGCUAAAACUCAAAGGAAUUGACGGGGGCUCACACAAGCGGUGGAGCAUGUGGAUUAAUUCGAAGCAACGCGCAGAACCUUACCUGGGUUUGACAUGUUUGGAUGCCCUCUGUGAAAACAGAGUAAGCUACCCUUCGGGGUGAAACUUACACAGGUGCUGCAUGGCUGUCGUCAGCUCGUGUCGUGAGAUGUUGGGUUAAGUCCUUUAACGAGCGAAACCCUUACCGUUAGUUGCCAGCGAGUCAAGUCGGGGACUCUAACGGGACUGCCGGUGUUAAACCGGAGGAAGGCGGGGAUGACGUCAAGUCCUCAUGGCCUUUAUGCCCAGGGCUUCACACGUGCUACAAUGGUACGGACAGAGCGACGCAAGACCGCGAGGUGGAGCAAAUCGCAAAAACCGUGCCCCAGUUCGGAUUACAGGCUGGC